rnacentral:rRNA from 1 species
GUCUUAUUGUAAUGUAUAAUAAGUCGAUUUCUGCCCAUUGAAAUUUAUUUUUAAAGGCUGCAGUAUAUUAACUGUACAAAGGUAGCAAAAUAAAUAGUUUUUUAAUUGAAAACUUGAAUGAAAGAGUUGAUAAAAUAUAAAUUGUUUCAAAUUAAUUAUAUUGAAUUUAAAUUAAAAGUUAAAAUGCUUUUAUUUUUUUAUUAGACGAUAAGACCCUAAGAAUUUAAUUAUUUGUUUUAAUUUAAUUUUUAUUAAAAAAUUUUGUUAAGAAUUGAAUAAUUUUGUUGGGAGGAUAAUAAAAUUUUAAUAAACUUUUAUUUAUAAGAAAUAUUUAUAAAUAAAAUUUUAAUGAUUAUUUUUAAGAUUGUUAGAAUAAAUUACCUUAGGGAUAACAGCGUUAUAAUUUUGGAGAGUUCAUAUUGAUAAAAUUGUUUGCGACCUCGAUGUUGAAUUAAAAUAAAAUUUAAAUGAAGAAAUUUAAGUUUUUAGUCUGUUCGACUAUUAAAAUUUUACA